UGAAAUGCGAUGAUAAAGACACGUUUUCAUACAGGGAGUUACAGAGAGCCGGCGGCUGGUGGAAGCCGGUACGAGAGGUAUGGAAAAUAUCACUUUGGAGCAGAUUUCCUGAAUACAGUAAGGAAAUACGAUACACUUGUCGUUAUAAGCAGAGGGCACAUGGAAUCCGUGUGAACUAAGGUGGUACCGCGUUAUAAGACGUCCUUAGA
rnacentral:ncRNA from 1 species